rnacentral:tmRNA from 1 species
GGGGAUGCCAGGAAUCGACAGUUGGCCUUUUUCUAAAUAUUCAAAGCGCGCUUAGCCAAUCGCGUUAAAAGGACUAAAAAAACACAAAUGCCAAAACGGCAAAAGCGUUUACUUGGGCAACACCAAGUUACGCCCCAGUUUUAGCUUAAUUAAUAGCUAAAGCCAUCGGACUGGAGGCCAGGCCUCAUAACUUCCAGCUGGUGUCAUAAAAAUGAGGAUAGAUAUCGCUUGCGCUUUUCGGGCGUUAUCAAAACCAAAAGAAGAUCGCUUGCACCGCUUUUGCUCGGUUUAUGAUGGUUCAAGUUAAAACAAUAAAAUCGGGAUAACUUUGUAAAUGUAUUUAGACAAACCGAUUGGACAUGGGUUCAACUCCCAUCAUCUCCACAG